rnacentral:rRNA from 1 species
UUCCGGUUGAUCCUGCCGGACCCGACUGCUAUCAGAGUGGGACUAAGCCAUGCGAGUCAACGCCGCAAGGCGUGGCAUACGGCUCAGUAACACGUAGUCAACAUGCCCAAAGGACGUGGAUAACCUCGGGAAACUGAGGAUAAACCGCGAUAGGCCAAGGUUUCUGGAAUGAGCCAUGGCCGAAAUCUAUAUGGCCUUUGGAUUGGACUGCGGCCGAUCAGGCUGUUGGUGAGGUAAUGGCCCACCAAACCUGUAACCGGUACGGGCUUUGAGAGAAGGAGCCCGGAGAUGGGCACUGAGACAAGGGCCCAGGCCCUAUGGGGCGCAGCAGGCGCGAAACCUCUGCAAUAGGCGAAAGCUUGACAGGGUUACUCUGAGUGAUGCCCGCUAAGGGUAUCUUUUGGCACCUCUAAAAAUGGUGCAGAAUAAGGGGUGGGCAAGUCUGGUGUCAGCCGCCGCGGUAAUACCAGCACCCCGAGUUGUCGGGACGAUUAUUGGGCCUAAAGCAUCCGUAGCCUGUUUCUGCAGUCCUC